UGAUGGGAGAAGAACUCUCAGGCUUGAGCAUCAAAGAAUUGCGGAAUUUGGAGAACCAAUUGGAAAUGAGUCUCCGCGGUGUCCGCACAAAAAAGGUUCACUUCUUACAUGCUUAUUCAUAGGAUUGAUCCAACUCGCUUCCAAGUAUCUUGCAAGACAAACAGGCUUCAUUACUUUUGCAGGACCAAGUUUUAAUGGAAGAAGUACGGGAGCUGAACAGAAAGGUAGAGUAUUUAACUCAGUCAGACUUGCUCACUUUGCUAUCUGUUCCUCAUUCAGGCUACUAAAUUUCAACCACAAAUCCCUGCAGGGAAACCUCCUUCACCAGGAAAACUUGGAACUGCAUAAGAAAGAAAAUCUAUUUAAACAAGAGAACAUGGAAUUGUACAAGAAGGUAUUAAUCUUAACACCACAAAGUUCUGCCAAAGUUAUUUACCUCAGAUUCCAUACUCUGUCUGACAAAAAUGUUCCAUAUCCCAGGUCUAUGGCACAAGAGAUGCAAAUAACAUAAAUGGAGCACACGCGAGUCUUCUACCAAAUAAACCAAGCAAUGAUGAAGAUGCUCAAGUACCUAUCCAUCUC
rnacentral:lncRNA from 1 species